CAGGAAUACAUGUUUGUGUUCCUGACCCUAUAGUGAUCCUUUAAGGCAUUUGAAAACGAAAUUUAAAGGAUCACUAUAGGGUCAAGAGCACAAACAUGUAUUCCUGAC